rnacentral:rRNA from 1 species
UCGAGGGCGUGGGGUAACCCACGACCGGCGAACGGGUGCGUAACACGUGAGCGACCUGCCUUCCCGCGGGGGAUAGCCGGCCCAACGGCCGGGUAAUACCGCAUACGCUCGGUUGGGGGCAUAUCUGACCGAGGAAACUUCCGGGGCGGGGAGAGGGGCUCGCGGCCUAUCAGCUAGUUGGCGGGGUAACGGCCCACCAAGGCGGUGACGGGUAGCUGGUCUGAGAGGAUGGCCAGCCACAUUGGGACUGAGAGACGGCCCAGACUCCUACGGGAGGCAGCAGUGGGGAAUCUUGCGCAAUGGGAGCAAUCCUGACGCAGCGACGCCGCGUGGGGGAGGAAGGGCUUCNGCUCGUAAACCCCUGUUGCCCGGGGCGAACCUCGGCUUUCGAGCCGACUGACGGUACCGGGUGAGGAAGCACCGGCUAACUCCGUGCCAGCAGCCGCGGUAAUACGGAGGGUGCGAGCGUUGUCCGGAAUCACUGGGCGUAAAGGGCGCGUAGGCGGCAGGCCAAGCGUGUGGUGAAAGCCCGGGGCUCAACCCCGGGUCGGCCAUGCGGACUGGCGUGCUUGAGCACUGUAGGGGCGGGUGGAAUUCCGGGUGUAGCGGUGGAAUGCGUAGAGAUCCGGAAGAACACCGGUGGCGAAGGCGGCCCGCUGGGCAGGAAGAUGGAGCAAUCCAUCGGCUGACGCUGAGGCGCGACAGCGUGGGGAGCAAACAGGAUUAGAUACCCUGGUAGUCCACGCCGUAAACGAUGGGCACUAGGUGCUUGGGG